rnacentral:rRNA from 1 species
UUGACCUCGGAUCAGGUAGGGAUACCCGCUGAACUUAAGCAUAUCAAUAAGCGGAGGAAAAGAAACCAACAGGGAUUGCCCUAGUAACGGCGAGUGAAGCGGCAACAGCUCAAAUUUGAAAUCUGGCGUCUUUGGCGUCCGAGUUGUAAUUUGCAGAGGGCGCUUUGGCGUUGGCAGCAGUCUAAGUUCCUUGGAACAGGACGUCACAGAGGGUGAGAAUCCCGUACGUGGUUGCUGGCCUUCGCCGUGUAAAGCCCCUUCGACGAGUCGAGUUGUUUGGGAAUGCAGCUCUAAAUGGGAGGUAAAUUUCUUCUAAAGCUAAAUACUGGCCAGAGACCGAUAGCGCACAAGUAGAGUGAUCGAAAGAUGAAAAGCACUUUGGAAAGAGAGUCAAACAGCACGUGAAAUUGUUAAAAGGGAAGCGCUUGCAGCCAGACUUGCCUGUAGUUGCUCAUCCGGACUUUUGUCCGGUGCACUCUUCUAUAGGCAGGCCAGCAUCAGUUUGGGCGGUUGGAUAAAGGUCUCUGUACAUGUACCUCU